GACGAACGCUGGCGGCGUGCCUAAUACAUGCAAGUUGAGCGCUGAAGGUUGGUACUUGUACCGACUGGAUGAGCAGCGAACGGGUGAGUAACGCGUGGGGAAUCUGCCUUUGAGCGGGGGACAACAUUUGGAAACGAAUGCUAAUACCGCAUAAAAACUUUAAACACAAGUUUUAAGUUUGAAAGAUGCAAUUGCAUCACUCAAAGAUGAUCCCGCGUUGUAUUAGCUAGUUGGUGAGGUAAAGGCUCACCAAGGCGAUGAUACAUAGCCGACCUGAGAGGGUGAUCGGCCACAUUGGGACUGAGACACGGCCCAAACUCCUACGGGAGGCAGCCGUAGGGAAUCUUCGGCAAUGGACGAAAGUCUGACCGAGCAACGCCGCGUGAGGGAAGAAGGGUUUCGGAUCGUAAAACUCUGUUGGUAGAGAAGAACGUUGGUGAGAGUGGAAAGCUCAUCAAGUGACGGUAACUACCCAGAAAGGGACGGCUAACUACGUG
rnacentral:rRNA from 1 species